rnacentral:rRNA from 1 species
UACAGAGGAUGCAAGCGUUAUCCGGAAUGAUUGGGCGUAAAGCGUCUGUAGGUGGCUUUUUAAGUCCGCCGUCAAAUCCCAGGGCUCAACUCUGGACAGGCGGUGGAAACUACCAAGCUGGAGUACGGUAGGGGCAGAGGGAAUUUCCGGUGGAGCGGUGAAAUGCGUAGAGAUCGGAAAGAACACCUGUGGCGAAAGCGGCUCACUGGACCAUUACUGACACUGAGGCACGAAAGCUAGGGGAGCAAACAGG